rnacentral:rRNA from 1 species
UACGAGAGGCCCAACCGUUAUUCGGAUUUACUGGGCUUAAAGAGUUCGUAGGCGGUUCGGUAAGUGAGGUGUGAAAGCCCUCGGCUCAACCGAGGAAUUGCGCUUCAAACUGCCGGGCUCGAGGGAGAUAGAGGUGAGCGGAACUGAUGGUGGAGCGGUGAAAUGCGUUGAUAUCAUCAGGAACACCAGAGGCGAAGGCGGCUCACUGGGUCUCUUCUGACGCUGAGGAACGAAAGCUAGGGGAGCAAACGGG